rnacentral:misc_RNA from 1 species
AAGUCGUAACAAGGUAACCGUAGGUGAACCUGCGGUUGGAUCAUUAACAAUAUUAUGAUCGGGAUCAAUUGAGUCUCUGGAGUGAUUGGAUUUGGUUCCUCCUCUGGGCUCAUAUUGACCCAAGACCCCAACAUCUUUUGUGAACUGUUUUAACCUUUUGUUUGGCCAAUGGCCGGGAAGCCCCCCGGGGUUCCUUUCCAGUGUCCAGACAAUACCAACCUAAUUCAUAUUUGUCAUAAUGAUACAAUUUUCUUUAAAACAAGAAACAACUUUUGGCAACGGAUCUCUUGGCUCUC